rnacentral:rRNA from 1 species
UACGUAGGAGGCGAGCGUUGUCCGGAUUUACUGGGCGUAAAGGGCGCGCAGGCGGCCUUGCAAGUAGCGUGUGAAAUCCACCUGCUCAACGGGUGGGGUGCAUGGUAGACUGCAGGGCUAGAGGACGGUAGAGGGGGGUGGAAUUGCUGGUGUAGCGGUGAAAUGCGUAGAUAUCGGGAGGAACAUCCGUGGCGAAGGCGGCUACCUGGACCAGCACUGACACUGAGGCACGAAAGCGUGGGGAGCAAACAGG